UUAUACUUUAAGAGAGUCUCUCACUAGAGUC
rnacentral:piRNA from 1 species